rnacentral:lncRNA from 1 species
GCCCCACUUGUGAAAUGUGUUAUAUCCCUUAAUAUUACUCCUGCCAACUUGCCCCAACCUUAUAGAAAACGAUAAUAUCUAGAUAAAUAUAUUAUUAACCAGGAAGAAUUUACUAAUGCCAACUCGCCCCACUCAUGUAAAAAGAUGUUAUCCCGUUGUAUAUAAGUUAAAUUCCGUUAAUAUUACUCCUGCCAACUGGUCCCACCUAAUGGAAAUCAGUGAAAUCUAGAUAAAUAUAUUAUUAACCAGGAUGAAUUUAGUAAUGCCAAAUAAAGGCAACAGUAGUAUACCGCUGUUCAAAACUCAUAAAUCCAGGGACAAAAAACAAAAU